rnacentral:rRNA from 1 species
GGAAUAUUGGACAAUGGGCGCAAGCCUGAUCCAGCCAUGCCGCGUGAGUGAAGAAGGCCUUAGGGUUGUAAAGCUCUUUUACCAGGGAUGAUAAUGACAGUACCUGGAGAAUAAGCUCCGGCUAACUCCGUGCCAGCAGCCGCGGUAAUACGGAGGGAGCUAGCGUUGUUCGGAUAUACUGGGCGUAAAGCGCACGUAGGUGGCGCCGUAAGUCAGGGGUGAAAUCCCGGAGCUCAACUCCGGAACUGCCCUUGAAACUGCAGUGCUAGAAUCUUGGAGAGGCGAGUGGAAUUCCGAGUGUAGAGGUGAAAUUCGUAGAUAUUCGGAAGAACACCAGUGGCGAAGGCGACUCGCUGGACAAGUAUUGACGCUGAGGUGCGAAAGCGUGGGGAGCAAA